rnacentral:rRNA from 1 species
AGAGAGAGACAUGCGCGCAUAUCAAUAAGCGGAGGAAAAGAACCUAACAAGGAUUCCCUUAGUAACGGCGAGUGAAGCGGGAAGAGCUCAAAUUUGAAAUCUUCAAGGUUCUACCUUGACGAAUUGUAGUUUAUAGAAGUGUUUUCUGUUAGGUGUAUUGGCUAAAAGUUCUUUGGAAUAGGACAUCAUAGAGGGUGAGAAUCCCGUAUUUGUACCAUUCCUCCUAGCGUUGUGAUACACUUUCAACGAGUCGGAUUGUUUGGGAAUGCAGUCCAAAAUGGGUGGUAAAUUUCAUCUAAAGCUAAAUACUGGCGAGAGACCGAUAGCGAACAAGUACCGUGAGGGAAAGAUGAAAAGAACUUUGAAAAGAGAGUUAAACAGUACGUGAAAUUGUCAAAAGGGAAGCGUUUGACACCAGUGUUGUUUUUCCGAAAAUCAAUUACGAAUGUUUUAUUUUUGAGGAGUUAUGACUUCAUCGGCUUGCUCCUUUCUCUAUGAAACUUUCUUAAUGCACUUUUCGGUUAACAAGUCAACAUCAAUUUCUUUUGUUGUAAAAGGGUAUGAGGAAGGUGGCUUUCUUUUCGGAGAAAGUGUUUAUAGCCUUGUGCCUCUGCAAUCGGAGAGAUUGAGGUCUGCAGCGUAGAUCCUUCGGGGUUAGAUACGUUUGUGCUAAGUUAUAGCUUUUCAUAGACAACUUGUUGACUAUGUUUAGUCUUGUAGCUUACUCGCUGACGCUAUUUUACCUACGCUUAGGAUGUUGAUAGUCACAGCGUGUAC